rnacentral:lncRNA from 1 species
CUUCCUUGAAGCGCUCGCCUGCAGCCCCUGAUGGCACUUUUCUUUAAACCCACGCGCCUGUGCAGCCCUUCGCACUCGAUCUAAAUGCUGUCACUAAUCAGAAUUUUUCAUAAGAUAAUCUUAGGAGAGCUGCGAAGUGCUGAUUGCCACACAUAGAACUGGUGGCAAUGAGCAGCGGGAUGCUGUACCUGUCCCGUUUUUAUUGGCGUCAUUCCGUUCUCAUGACACGUCCCUUCCCACUCGAUCUGAAUGCUGUCACUAAGCAGAAUUUUUCAUAAGAUAAUCUUAGGAAAGCUGCGAAGUGCUGAUUGCGACACAUAGAACUGGUGGCAAUGAGCAGCGGGAUGCGAUAUCUGUCACGUUUAUUGGCGUUAUUCCGUUCUCAUGACACGUCCCUUCGCACUCGAUCUGAAUGCUGUCACUAAGCAGAAUUUUUCAUAACAUCAUCUUAGGAAAGCUGCGAAGUGCUGAUUGCGACACAUAGAACUGGUGGCAAUGAGCAGCGGGAUGCUGUACCUGUCCCGUUUUUAUUGGCGUCAUUCCAUUCUCAUGACACGUCCCUUCCCACUCGAUCUGAAUGCUGUCACUAAGCAGAAUU